rnacentral:rRNA from 1 species
UACGAAGGGGGCUAGCGUUGCUCGGAAUCACUGGGCGUAAAGCGCACGUAGGCGGACUCUUAAGUCGGUGGUGAAAUCCUGGAGCUCAACUCCAGAACUGCCUUCGAUACUGGGAGUCUCGAGUUCGGGAGAGGUGAGUGGAACUGCGAAGUGUAGAGGUGAAAUUCGUAGAUAUUCGCAAGAACACCAGUGGCGAAGGCGGCUCACUGGCCCGAUACUGACGCUGAGGUGGCGAAAG